rnacentral:rRNA from 1 species
CCUACGGGGGGCAGCAGUGAGGAAUAUUGGUCAAUGGACGAGAGUCUGAACCAGCCAAGUAGCGUGAAGGAUGACUGCCCUAUGGGUUGUAAACUUCUUUUAUCUGGGAAUAAAAUGUUCCACGUGUGGGAUUUUGUAUGUACCAUAUGAAUAAGGAUCGGCUAACUCCGUGCCAGCAGCCGCGGUAAUACGGAGGAUCCGAGCGUUAUCCGGAUUUAUUGGGUUUAAAGGGAGCGUAGGCGGAUUGUUAAGUCAGUUGUGAAAGUUUGCGGCUCAACCGUAAAAUUGCAGUUGAAACUGGCAGUCUUGAGUACAGGAGAGGUAGGCGGAAUUCGUGGUGUAGCGGUGAAAUGCUUAGAUAUCACGAAGAACUCCGAUUGCGAAGGCAGUUCACUGGACUGCAACUGACACUGAGGCUCGAAAGUGUGGGUAUCAAACAGGAUUAGAUACCCCAGUAGUC